rnacentral:ncRNA from 2 species
UCCCGACCCCACGGGCGCCCGAGGCAUCGGGCUGAGAUCGCGCUAGUGACGCCGCGCGAGCACCGUAUGAACCUGUCUGGUUAGCACCAGCGUAGGAAGAGAGGCGAUGGCAUGCA